rnacentral:rRNA from 1 species
AUACGGAGGGUGCAAGCGCUACUCGGAAUCACUGGGCGUAAAGCGCGCGCAUGCGGCUUGAUAAGUUGGAUGUGAAAGCCUACGGCUCAACCGUAGAACUGCAUCCAAAACUGUCAGGCUAGGGUGUGGGAGAGGAAGAUGGAAUUAGUUGUGUAGGGGUAAAAUCCGUAGAGAUAACUAGGAAUACCAAAAGCGAAGGCAAUCUUCUGGAACACUACUGACGCUGAGGCGCGAAGGCGUGGGGAGCAAGCAGCAUUAGAAACCCCAGUAGUCC